rnacentral:sRNA from 1 species
AAGUGUUUGCGGACCAAGAAGAAGAAGAAACGUAGUU